UUUGUUUGGCAAAUGUUAAAUUCAUGUUAGUACAGUUAGUCAACGUAAUAUUGAAUGUGCCAAAAACCAAUUGAUUUGAUGUUCAUAUUUCCUGCUAAUAUAAUUUGCUGUUUGCUUUAUAAUAAGGCGUUAAUUUAAUGUGUGUGAAAUAUAGAUGUGAUCCAAUAUUGUUAAUUAUAUUUUUCUGUUCACAGACAUUGUGGGCACUUGCUGUAAUCGUCAAAAUAAGAAAACAGAAGUGUGUCAUAUCUGAGCAUGCGUGUAUUGAAGGAUGUGAUGUUGUUAUUACAAGUUUUGUUAAUAAAAUCACUUUUGUUUCACGAACUUUAGAACCACUUUCUGAGCUUCUCCCCUUGUCCUCCCGCCCUUCCGGACUGGAGGUAACAGUUGUAAAAUGAUCUCUGUGUAAUAAAUGAAAUAAAUGCUUUCGAAACAGUAUUUGAUAUGUUAUGUACCGCAUUCUUUAUUUGCUAUAUUACAUUCAGCUGUCACCAUAGAUAGUGCAAACCAUCGUAAUAAAGUAUAUAUACAAGCAGCUUAUGGACACAAGUUUCAUACCUUAAAGAAAUACCAAAACUAUUUUUAACACAUUAUUUUAUUAGUAAGAAAGGAAAUUCCCGCAAUAAUUCUCGGAGUUGUCGCUUUGGGUAAUGUCAUUAUAAAAUUAAAAUUAACUUCACAAAAAUACUUUUAGUACUCAGUCACUCUUCACAUAAUGUGGGUACUGGGAAUUGACUUUGAUACACAAGCUAUAAGCCUAUUUCAGCACAUGCGUAAACUCAUUAAUUAAAACAGUACUUUGUCGGAUUCUGAAGUCCACAGCCACAGCAAUCAAGUAAUUGCGUAUUGUGUCAAUGACAUGUAUAUCUUCUUACAAUCGGUAUCUUAUUAAAUGUAACUGCUAGUUGAAGUAUCUUAUAUGUUUUUAGGAAACGAGGACUUUCAUGGGCUACCACUUUUUGGGGUCUUCAAUGUUGGUGAGGCUGGGGAGGUAUAUCGAGACCAGCAAAGGCUUUCCCGUCUGGAGGGACGUAAACAGUAAAGGAAGACAGAAAUAUCACCACUGCACGGGUGGUGCAGCGAUUAAAUCGUGUAUUAAAAAAAUACAAAUAAACAGAUCCUUCUUCAUGAAUCGAAGAGUACUCCUGAUGGUGGGGCUGAACGAUGUGCUCAAGGGCAUGCGAUCAGAUUAUGCCGCGAGGGACUUAAAGAUCCUGCUCCGGACACUAAAGGAGAGGCAGUGCUACCCCCUGUGCCCCGCUUCCCCCGGGCAGCAGGCAGGAGCUGUACUGGCUCAACUGCCACAUGCAGAGAACAGCAGAAAGCAUGAAAUUCCGCACUGUUUCCAUAGAUGGAAUAUUCCGCAAUUCGGAUGGGUCUGUGAGGUCAGGGUUUUUCGAGAGGUACAUGGGAGCCAACAGAAAACCAGACCACGUGCACUGGAACCAACAAGGCAUGGAAGCAGUAGUGAGAUUUCUGAAACAAAUUUUGUGAAAUAUAUAUAUGGACACACAUGAAAUAAAAUAAUUUCUUAAUUUGUUAUUGUUAACAAUAAUUGGAAUUGAAAUAGUUUAGCAAAGUUACGGCAUUGCGAAAAUAUAAAUUUUGUUAAUUUUGCAUUGUGUUUCUUUACAAGCGUUGGCUUGAAAUUCCUAACAUCAUUCAACCUAAAACUCUAUGAUGCAAGUGAAAUGUUAUCUAAAAG